rnacentral:ncRNA from 2 species
AUUUCAACUAAGGGGUGCCCUAAUAUGACGGGCUGAGAACAUACCCAUUGACCUGAUUCGGGUAGUGCCGACGUAGGGAAAAGAAGAAAAGUUCCCC